rnacentral:rRNA from 1 species
AGUGAACGCUGGCGGUAGACCUAACACAUGCAAGUCGAACGGCAGCACAGUAAGAGCUUGCUCUUACGGGUGGCGAGUGGCGGACGGGUGAGGAAUACAUCGGAAUCUACUUUUUCGUGGGGGAUAACGUAGGGAAACUUACGCUAAUACCGCAUACGACCUACGGGUGAAAGCAGGGGAUCUUCGGACCUUGCGCGAUUGAAUGAGCCGAUGUCGGAUUAGCUAGUUGGCGGGGUAAAGGCCCACCAAGGCGACGAUCCGUAGCUGGUCUGAGAGGAUGAUCAGCCACACUGGAACUGAGACACGGUCCAGACUCCUACGGGAGGCAGCAGUGGGGAAUAUUGGACAAUGGGCGCAAGCCUGAUCCAGCCAUACCGCGUGGGUGAAGAAGGCCUUCGGGUUGUAAAGCCCUUUUGUUGGGAAAGAAAAGCAGCAGGUUAAUACCCCGCUGUUCUGACGGUACCCAAAGAAUAAACACCGGCUAACUUCGUG